CACAGGUCAUGCCCAAAACAUCCACUUCCCCUUUGAUAUUGAAGCGGACACUUCAAUCAGUGUUGCAACUGAGAUGGUUGUGCAGCUCGAUCUCACAGAUCAAGAUGUAACGACGAUUGCAGAAAUGAUAGAAGAACACUGCAGCAAGUUCUUCUUAGGAAUAAGAUGAAAUGAUGUGGGGUCAAAGAGAGGAUGACGGAAACUUGAAGUACUUGGAGAUAAGAUAAAUCAAUUCAUUGACAUAAUAGAAAGCUUAAUUUCGUCGCCUCAAGCAAGUGAUUCAAAUGAUAGACAUGACAAUUGGGCUUUUGAAGAGGGUGUUCUCGACAAAGAAAGCUUGUACCUUAAAACAGGAGGAUACAAGAAGCUGGAGUGGUUGUCUGGAGGCUUUUGAACUGCUUGAAGCAUUAGUGUAGCUUUGGUGCUUUUGUGACUAAUCAACUCUGGAGCACCUAGAGUGAUGUAGUUGUGGGCUUUUGAACAAUAGCUGGAGUGAUAUGAAACAUUAGUGAUGUAGU